rnacentral:rRNA from 1 species
GAUGAACGCUGGCGGCGUGCCUAAUACAUGCAAGUCGAGCGAACGGACGAGAAGCUUGCUUCUCUGAUGUUAGCGGCGGACGGGUGAGUAACACGUGGAUAACCUACCUAUAAGACUGGGAUAACUUCGGGAAACCGGAGCUAAUACCGGAUAAUAUUUUGAACCGCAUGGUCCAAAAGUGAAAGACGGUCUUGCUGUCACUUAUAGAUGGAUCCGCGCUGCAUUAGCUAGUUGGUAAGGUAACGGCUUACCAAGGCAACGAUGCAUAGCCGACCUGAGAGGGUGAUCGGCCACACUGGAACUGAGACACGGUCCAGACUCCUACGGGAGGCAGCAGUAGGGAAUCUUCCGCAAUGGGCGAAAGCCUGACGGAGCAACGCCGCGUGAGUGAUGAAGGUCUUCGGAUCGUAAAACUCUGUUAUUAGGGAAGAACAUAUGUGUAAGUAACUGUGCACAUCUUGACGGUACCUAAGCAGAAAGCCACGGCUAACUACGU